rnacentral:rRNA from 1 species
AGAGAUUGAUCCUGGCUCAGAAUGAACGCUGGCGGCGUGCUUAACACAUGCAAGUCGAACGAGAACGGGAUUGCUUGCGAUCCUUAGUAGAGUGGCGCACGGGUGAGUAACACGUAGAUAAUCUACCUCCAAGCCUGGGAUAACUAUUCGAAAGGAUGGCUAAUACCGGAUGAAGUAUGUUGACCUAAGUUAACAUAUGAAAGAUUGCCUCUUCUUGAAAGCAAUUGUUUGGAGAUGAGUCUGCGGACCAUUAGUUUGUUGGUGGGGUAAAGGCCUACCAAGACUACGAUGGUUAGCUGGUCUGAGAGGAUGAUCAGCCACACUGGAACUGGAACACGGUCCAGACUCCUACGGGAGGCAGCAGUGAGGAAUUUUGCGCAAUGGGGGAAACCCUGACGCAGCAACGCCGCGUGAGUGAAGAAGGCCCUUGGGUCGUAAAGCUCUGUCGACAGGGAAGAAAUUACUUCAUAUUAAUAGUGUGUUGUAUUGACGGUACCUGUAGAGGAAGCACCGGCUAACUCCGUGCCAGCAGCCGCGGUAAUACGGGGGGUGCAAGCGUUAUUCGGAAUUAUUGGGCGUAAAGGGCGCGUAGGCGGUCUUGUCGGUCAGAUGUGAAAGCCCGGGGCUCAACCCUGGAAGUGCAUUUGAAACAGCAAGACUUGAAUACUGGAGGGGAGAGCGGAAUUCUUGGUGUAGCGGUGAAAUGUGUUGAUAUCAAGAAGAACACCGGUGGCGAAGGCGGCUCUCUGGAAUGCAACUGACGCUGAGGUACGAAAGCUGGGGGAGCGAACAGGAUUAGAUACCCUGGUAGUCCCAGCCGUAAACGGUGUGCACUUGGUGUGGGGGGCGUUGACCCUUCCGUGCCGGAGCUAACGCAUUAAGUGCACCGCCUGGGGAGUACGGCCGCAAGGCUAAAACUCAAAGAAAUUGACGGGGGCCCGCACAAGCGGAGGAGCAUGUGGCUUAAUUCGAUGCAACGCGAAGAACCUUACCAGGGCUUGACAUGCAGCUGCAUACCUGGUGAAAGCCGGGAGGCCUUCGAGGGUGCUGCACAGGUGCUGCAUGGCUGUCGUCAGUUCGUGCCGUGAGGUGUUGGGUUAAGUCCCGCAACGAACGCAACCCCUGUGUCUAGUUGCCACCGCAGGUGAUGAGCCUGCGAGCACUCUGGACAGACUGCCCGUACAAGCGGGAGGAAGGUGGGGAUGACGUCAAGUCAGUAUGGCCCUUACGCCCUGGGCUGCACACGUGCUACAAUGGUCGGUACAGAGGGAUGCAAUACCGCGAGGUGGAGCAAAUCCACAAAGUCGGCCUCAGUUCGGAUUGGAGUCUGCAACUCGACUCCAUGAAGUUGGAUUCGCUAGUAACGGCGCAUCAGCUACGGCGCCGUGAAUACGUUCCCGGGCCUUGUACACACCGCCCGUCACAUCAUGAAAGCCGUCUGCACCCGAAGUCACUGAGCUAACCCGCAAGGGAGGCAGGUGCCGAAGGUGUGGGUGGUGAUUGGGAU